rnacentral:lncRNA from 1 species
GAGAAGACAAAGUGCACCGUAAAACAACUAUAACAAUUAUUUAAAAAAUUAAUUAAAAAACUUAUAGUAAAAUAUAAUAAUUAUCAUUAAAAAAAAUUAAAAGAAACUUAUUUUUAAAAAUAGUUAAAACAAUGUUUGUUGUAGAAAUAUGGUACUUUUUUCAUUCAUUUUUUAAAAUUUAUCUUUAUAUAUCUAAAAAAAUAAAACAUUUCCACAAAACAUAAAUUUAAAAAAUAAUAUUUAAAAAAGAAAACAUAUUGCAACCUAAAGUUUAAAUAGGUUUAAAGCAUACUUUUUUUAAUAAUAAAUAAAUAAAUAACGUGACAUUGCAUCCUAAUAAGAGAGAGAUAAUAUAUUUUUAUGUCAAGUAUAAUUUGAGGAAAAUAGGCAAAGUUGAAUGAUAUUGUAGUCCUAAAACAAACAUAAGUGAUAUUCCUAGGUAAUUUUCCAAACAUGGGUGACUAUCUAGGGAAAUUACUCUAAUCUUCUUUACUUAAAGAGUGUGAAACACUUUAACAAUUCAAUUAAUUUGAAAAUAUAGGGAGUAAUAUAAAAUGUAUAAAUUAUAGGAAUCAUAUAGUUUAAGAUAAAAGUACAUCCUAUCCCUAUUAGUUUUCAUUUACAGAAAUCCCUUAAAAUAAGAGGGAUAUAGAUACAUAAGUGGUUGCCAGAUACAUAAUUUCUGAUACAUUCAAUGGUGUUGUUACGCUUAAAAAGAAUAAAAUAACUUAAAUUUUAUUUUAAUUAAUUUCAAUCCCAUAACUCACGCCUGACAUGUUGUAAAUAAUGCAUGUAAUACCUAGCAGAUUCACAAAUUUGAAAUUUUACAAUCACAACUUCUCCAUCAAGGAACCAUUACUAUCUUAAAAACUUCUAAAUUCAAAUAACUAGAAAAAAUCAUUGUAGAAGAUGAAUAUAUUGAUUUUGUUGAUGUUGGGUGUGCGAUGUGAUUGUCGCGCCCCAUUUUUUCGUAAAAAUGGGUUUUGUGCACGAUAUAACAACUCUUUUGGGAUUUUGAGUUUAAAGGAGUCGUCACCUAACGAAUUAAGGCGCGUUAGGGCACCUAUCUAACCUUACUAAGUCUAGCUAAGGUCAACGAGUCAGAGAUCAGGGUAAGAGUUUAAAUUACCUCGAGGGGAAGGUGUUAAGCAUCCCUCGAGGUCCACAAAUGUGGGUCCCGACCGUAUCUCAUGCAAUUUAUGUGGGGGUUACAAGUAGCAAAUAAGGUCACUUCAUUUAUUAGUUUAUUUGAGCUUGCUAAGUGAUGACAUAAUAUUAAGCAAUUAAUUUUUUUUAUUUUAGUUAAUUUAAACAUGUGAGAUUAGGUGAUAGAAAUAAAUAAACAAUUAAACUCUUUUUUUUUUAUUUAAUUUAGCAUACGAGACUAUAUGAUAUAACAAGUCAAACAAAUAGCUCAUAUUAUUAUUUUAAUUGAUUUUUAAGCAUGCUAAAAGGCGAUGGAAACAAUAAACACAACAAAUAUUAAUCAAUUACAUAAAGAUAAGCGAGGAGACAAAUAGACAAAUAGAUAAGCCAAUAAAUUUGUUAUAUUUUUUUUUAUUUUAAGCUACCCCAAUAAAUUACUAAACAAUUAAGAAUACUUCAAUUAUUUAUUAUUUGAGCAUACGAUCUAGGUGAUUAAAAAUAUUGACCAAAUAUUAAGCAAUUAAUAAUGAGAUAACAAGAAGACAUAAUAUGUACAAAUAAAAAUAAUUCAAUUUAAUUUAUUAUGCCGCACCAAACAAGACUAAGAUGUGCGAAUUUUUUUUUUGAAAUUCCUUUGAGAAUCACAUAAUACCUAUAGGCAUGAUUUCUAACUUGACAAUUACGGUAAACAAGUAGCAUGUAAAUUCUCUCCCCUUAGGUGAUCUCCCCAAAAUAUUUUAUUUUAUAUAUAGAGAGUUAAAGAGUUGUACAAACAUUAAAAGUAAAAAUAAAUAGUGAAUAAACAUAUAUAUAAUAAAAUGAACGAGGCUUCGUCCACAAUUUCUUCUAGGCAAAUCUUCAACAUCUUGAACUCUAAGUUCAAAACUUGGAAGAAGAGGUAAUGUAACACAUAUACGAUGAGGAAAUAGGUGUAAACAGAAUGCUCAUAGUAACAAAUUACUCUCAUAUAUAUGUAAAUAAUACAUAAGAAGGGAUACAGAAUAACCAUAGUUAUCUUAUCAAACGUAAAAGGAUAAUGAAACUAACUUGGAUGCUUCCUUGUUGUUUCGUUUUUCAACAACUAAAUAUUAUAAUUAUGAAAAAAAUCAAAUUAAAAUUAAUAAAGAGGACUAACCAAUUAUAUAGAAAAGAUUAUCAAUUUGUAUUAGAAGAAUGAGUGAUGAGUUGAGAGGAUGAAUAUGUGUAUGAGCAAUGAGAAAAUGAGAGAAAUUGUAGCAAGAGUUAGUAUCUCAAUGAAUGAGAGAAGGGUCUACUUAUAUAGCAAAAAGGGGUGCAUUUAAUAAAGAAAAAUAAAUAAAUUAAGGAAUCAAUUAUUGUACCAUUUUCCUUAUUUUAGAGGAGGAUCAAUCAGAAAAUUCUAAUAAUAUUUCAUUACCACAAAUAAACUUGUAAUAAUAAAAGUUAGGAAAAAAAUAAUAUUUUUUUCUUAAAUAAAGAAGAACUAAAAUAAAAUUAUUAUCAUGCUACCAAAUAUAAACAAAUAAGAAUAAAUUAAGAAGAACACAAUUAUUUUUUCCUUAACUAAUGAAGAGCCAAAAUUGAUUUUUUUUUUAAAAAAAAAAUAUUAUUAUUCUACCAUAUACAUGAGCAACUAAAUAUUACAAGGAAAUAAUUUAAGGUCAAACAUUUACCUAAUUACAAUAAAUAAAUAUGUAAGAAUCAAUCUAGACAAACGUUGAAGGAAAAGGAGAUCGAUUAAUAUUUUUAAUUCAUUUUAAGAGAGAGCUAAAUUAUAAAAUCAAUAUUUUCAGAAUGUGUAAAUAUCUUCCCAAAAAUAAGUAAGUAAGAAACCUUUUUUUUUAAUCACAUGAACAAAGAUUUAAUCUAUAAUUUUAGCAAAUUAAUUUGAAUAUUUUUUUAAUCACACAUAAGCAUGUCACAUAAGUCAACCAAGGAUAGCCAUAAAUAAUAGUAUACUAACAAUAUUAUUUAUAUAUUUAACACAGAAUCAAAUACGAAAAAAUACUUUGUAAUCAUAUCAAUCCAUUAUCAAGUAAUCUACACUAUACUUAAGCAAGCUAGAUUCAAAACGAACGCAAAGAUUAAAUUUAAAAAUUCAUGGACCAAUUUUAAAUCAACACAAUAAGUUAAUUGCUAAUCAGUUAACACAGAAGCAACAUCACUCGAUCAUCCACACCAAAAUUCAUUUAAGACUUAUUGAGAGACAAAACUAACUAGCAUAUGAUAUACACAAGCUUCGAAAUUUUUUGAAAAAUCAACAAGAACAGUCCAUAAGAUCAAGAAACUCACAAUUUAUUUUCGCUCAUCGAUAACAUUCAUAACAUUAGGCAAAUUACAUUUAUGAUUUAAAAGAGAAACUAACCCGGACAAAUCUAUCAUAGAUCCGUCUUAAAACUUCAAAGACGCUUGAUGGAGUUCGCUGACCGGAGUUGUUGCUUUCGGCGGUUGCUGCUGCCUCCAAAAGAAGAGAGAAGAGGAGGGAGACGAGAAGAGGGGCGAGAGGGAGAAGAUAGGGGGCGGGAGACGGAGAGGGGAAGAGGGGCGGCUGCCACCACUUGGAGGUGGUGAUUAACCACCGGAAAGAAUGGAGGGAGAGAGAGGCGGCUGGAGAUAUGGGUGAGGGAGGAAUAAAAUA